rnacentral:sRNA from 2 species
AGACAUUGAGAAGUAAUGACUCCACCGCCAGGGCCAUUAUUGUUAUUACCACCGCUUCCCCUCCCCAUAUUACACUGGAAAGGAGUUAGAUAAUUGACCUGUCCUUGUGUAGUACAUUUCGCAGACCAUUCUGGAGAACAAUGGCAUCUAUUCGAGCCAAUUGCCGGAAGGUGAUGUGCAUCGGCCGAAACUAUGCGUAUGUUCUCCUGAAGAAAACUAACAUUGUCAAUUGCAAUUAUAAUGACAAACGUAACCUGCCUUCCGAUCUGGUGCGCUGUAUCUGUUAAUGCAAGGACAUAUAAACCAGUGACCACAUAACAGAGCUCAACAACGUUCGCCCAAAACAACCAUUCUUCUUCCUCAAGCCACCCUCUUCCAUCCUCCUCCCAAACAGCGGGCCCGUUCUGCGCCCCAAGGGCGUGAGCCUACAUUAUGAAGUCGAGCUCGGAUUAGUUAUAGGCAAAACGCUCCGUGACCAUGACCCGGCAGACGAACGUGGCGCUUUGGACGCCAUAUCAGCGUACACCCUCGCCAUCGACCUAACAGCGCGCAACAUCCAAGACGCCUCCAAAAAGGCCGGGCUCCCCUGGUCCAUCGCCAAAGGCUUCGACACUUUCCUCCCCAUCUCCGCUGUGAUUCCAAAAUCCUGCAUCCCGGACCCGCACAAUGCUACUCUCCACCUCUCUGUCGAUGGCCAGCUGCGCCAGCGUGAUAGCACCAACCUGAUGCUCUAUCGCAUCCCGCGCCAGCUGGCGGAUAUCUCGCGUGUGAUGACCCUGGAACCGGGGGAUUUGGUGUUGACGGGCACGCCAAAAGGUGUAGGUGAGGUUCGGGAUGGGCAAGUUAUGACGGCGGGCAUUGAGGUUGGGGGUCGGGAGGUUGAGGAGGGGAAGAUUGAGGUUGUGGUUAGGGAUAGGGG